AGAGUUUGAUCCUGGCUCAGAAUGAACGCUGGCGGCGUGCCUAACACAUGCAAGUCGGAUGUGCCCGCAAGGGUGCAUGGCAGACGGGUGAGUAACGCGUGGGGAAUCUACCUCUUUGUGGGGAAUAACGCUCCGAAAGGAGUGGUAAUACCGCAUGAGACCAAUGGCUGGAAUGUUGUUGGUGAAACCUGGGGACCGCAAGGCCUGGGGCAAGGAGAGGAUCCUGCGUCUGAUUAGCUAGUUGGCGGGGUAAUGGCCCAUCAAGGCGACGAUCAGUAGCCGGCCUGAGAGGGUGAUCGGCCACACUGGAACUGAGACACGGUCCAGACUCCUACGGGAGGCAGCAGUGGGGAAUUUUGCGCAAUGGGCGAAAGCCUGACGCAGCAACGCCGCGUGGGUGAUGAAGGUCUUCGGAUCGUAAAACCCUGUCGUCGGGGACGAAGGUAGCUUAGUGAACAGCUGAGUUGCUUGACGGUACCCGGAGAGGAAGCCCCGGCUAACUCUGUGCCAGCAGCCGCGGUAAUACAGAGGGGGCAAGCGUUAUUCGGAAUUAUUGGGCGUAAAGGGCGCGUAGGCGGUUUUUUAAGUCAGAUGUGUAAUCCCCGAGCUCAACUUGGGAACUGCAUCUGAGACUGGAAGGCUAGAGUACUGGAGAGGGUGGUAGAAUUCCACGUGUAGCGGUGAAAUGCGUAGAUAUUAGGAGGAACACCGGUGGCGAAGGCGGCUACCUGGACCGAUAUUGACGCUGAGACGCGAAAGCGUGGGGAGCAAACAGGAU
rnacentral:rRNA from 1 species